rnacentral:rRNA from 1 species
CCUACGGGUGGCAGCAGUGAGGAAUAUUGGUCAAUGGGCGGAAGCCUGAACCAGCCAAGUAGCGUGCAGGAUGACGGCCCUACGGGUUGUAAACUGCUUUUAUACGGGAAUAACGCGCCUUACGUGUAGGUCUUUUCAUGUAUCGUAUGAAUAAGGACCGGCUAAUUUCGUGCCCGCGGCCGCGGGAUUAUGGAGGGUCCGGGCGUUAUCCGGAUGUUUUGGGUUUAAGGGGAGCUUAGGCCGCAUGUCAAGCGUGCUGUGAAAUGUCCGGGCUCAACCCGGGCCUUGCAGCGGAAACUGGCGGGCUUGAGUCCGCAGAGAGCAGGCGGAAUUCGUGGUGUAGCGGUGAAAUGCUUAGAUAUGACGAAGAACCCCGAUUGCGAAGGCAGGUUGCUGCAGCGGAACUGACGCUGAUGCUCGAAAGCGCGGGUAUCGAACAGGAUUAGAUACCCCAGUAGUC